CCUUCGGGUUGUAAAGCACUUUUGGUUCGGAACGGAAACGGUUCGUAGUGACGAACUUAACAGUCAGCUAAUGACGGUACCCGGAAGAAUAAGCACCGGCUAACUACGUGC
rnacentral:rRNA from 1 species